ensembl:misc_RNA Y_RNA Y RNA
AUUUGAUCCAAAGUUGUGGGUUCUUGCUAAAUUGUUUAGCAUUUCUCCAGCCCACAACCACACGUGCUAGCUUUGC